CUCUUACUAUUUUGAGGCAACAAAGGACUACAAAUUAGAUCCAAUAUUAAAUACCAUAUAUCUUCACAUUAAAUACCAAAUCCUAUAAACUUCACCCACCUAUUAAUAACCUUCCCUUACGAUCCUCUUCUUUCCUCUCCAGUUCACAAACCAAAUAUGUGCAAGAAAAUUACACCUGUGUUUAUUGCCCUUCUCCUCUUUGUCUCCCUCACCCAAUCUUCUAGGAUUGAACCAAUGGAGCCACAAAAGAGCCCUUUCGAGGGAAUGGAGGGAUGCGAAGGAGAUGGAGAAGAGGAAUGCCUGAUGAGAAGAACUCUUACUGCCCACACUGACUACAUUUAUACUCAAGAGAAGAACAACUAGUUGGGGUUGGGGGUGUGUCAGGGUUUGAGGAGGACAUUGCAUGUUACGUUUAAUUGGGUGUUCACUUUUGUUGCUGUUUGUGUUUUUCGUGUAGUGUUUAUCCUCCUCAUUUCUACGUAAUAGAGGUUUCUUUUGAUUUUGUGAAUAUGUAAUUAUGCUGAUCAUUAAUAUUAGAGUGCUGCUACUUCUGCAACACUUUUAGUGUUGUAA